rnacentral:lncRNA from 1 species
GUCACAGCUCUCGGGCACCUUGCUAGCUGAAGGUCCGGCAAAAGAGAACGAUAAAAGGUCACUGCCACCAUCUUCUGUGAAGUCAGACUAACAGUAUGUAUGUAGCUGUCUAAAUAAUGACCUUGUUCAUCCCUGAUAUGGCUGGUCGUCUGUUUUUGCUCAUCCUCCUUUUCGAUACCUUCCAGUACAUCAAAGCCAAAGAUCUUCCUCGGCCCAGUCUAACAGUGAUUCCUGCAGUCAUCAAAGAGAGAGACUCAGUUCAGCUGAACUGUCAGACUCCUUCAUCUGUCUCUGAGUGUUACUUCAAAAUGGAAGGGCAAGUGGAAUUCACCCUACCAUCACCCUGUCAACAGACUCUCACAGGAACACUACUGGUGAGGUGGACAGGUCAGAGUUCACCAGCUGAGGUCAAAAUACAAUGUCAGUACAGUGCUACAGGUUCACAGUUUAGAUCCAUGUUCAGUGAGCCUUCAACAGUCACAAUUCAGGACCUUCCUCAGCUGACAGUGAGUUCUACAGUCAUCAGAGAGACAGAAUCAGUUCAGCUGAGUUGUGAGACUCCUCCAUCUCUCCCUGUGUCUCACUGUUACUUCUACAUAGAGGGGAGGAAGAAUCUUCCAGACUCAUUGUGUACGCAGACAAUAACAGGAACUCAGCUGCUGAAGAGGGCAGAUCAAACAUUUCCAGUUGUGGUCAAAGUGAAGUGUUACUAUGCUGUAUGGAAGUCUCACACAUCUCCGUUUAGUAACUCUGUCUCAGUCACUGUUCAGGACCCACCUCCUCCCAGGCUGACAGUCAGUUCUACAGUCAUCAGUGAGAGAGACUCAGUUCAGCUGAGCUGUGACUCUCCUCCAUCUGUCUCUGUGUCUCAGUGUUACUUCUACACAGAGGGGAGAGAUCCUAAACCCUCACCCUGUACGAAGUCACUCACGGGGACUGAGCUGCUCUCGUCGGCAGGUCAAAGUUCAUCUGCUGAGAUCAAACUGAGAUGUUUUUACACAGUAGAAACUCACUUUCC